UACGUAGGGGGCUAGCGUUGUCCGGAUUUAUUGGGCGUAAAGAGCGUGUAGGCGGCCAGGUAGGUCUGCUGUGAAAACUCGAGGCUCAACCUCGAGACGUCGGCGGAAACCAUCUGGCUAGAGUCCGGAAGAGGAGAGUGGAAUUCCUGGUGUAGCGGUGAAAUGCGUAGAUAUCUGGAGGAACACCGGUGGCGAAGGCGGCAUCCUGGACCGGCAUUGACGCUGAGGAGCGAAAGCCAGGGGAGCAAACGGG
rnacentral:rRNA from 1 species